GGCACCGCGAUAAGGGGACCUCGAGUGCUGGGUUACAAACCUGGCUGUUGGGCUGCCUAAAAAGCAGUCUAUAGCAAGGGCCGGGCAAGACCGGUGCCAGCCGCCGCGGUAACACCGGCGGCUCGAGUGGUAACCGCUGUUAUUGGGUCUAAAGGGUCUGUAGCCUGCCGGCUAAGUCUCUUGGGAAAUCUGGCAUCUCAAGUGUCAGGCUGCCAGGGGAUACUGGUCAGCUUGGGACCGGGAGAGGUGAGAGGUACCUCAGGGGUAGGGGUGAAAUCUUGUAAUCCUUGAGGGACCACCAGUGGCGAAGGCGUCUCACCAGAACGGAUCCGACGGCAAGGGACGAAAGCUAGGGGCACGAACCGGAUUAGAUACCCGGGUAGUCCUAGCCGUAAACGAUACUCGCUAGGUGUCGGCCACGGUGCGACCGUGGUCGGUGCCGUAGGGA
rnacentral:rRNA from 1 species